AAGGGUAUAGCUCAGGGGUAGAGCACAUGCUUAGCAUGCUGGAGGUCUUGGGUUCAAUUCCCAGUACCUCCA
rnacentral:tRNA from 1 species